UACGGGGGGGGCAAGCGUUGUUCGGAAUUACUGGGCGUAAAGGGCUCGUAGGUGGCCAACUAAGUCAGACGUGAAAUCCCUCGGCUUAACCGGGGAACUGCGUCUGAUACUGGAUGGCUUGAGUUCGGGAGAGGGAUGCGGAAUUCCAGGUGUAGCGGUGAAAUGCGUAGAUAUCGUAAGGAAGACCAGUGGCGAAGGCGGGUCUCUGGACAGUUCCUGACGCUGAAGCACGAAGGCCAGGGGAGCAAACGGG
rnacentral:rRNA from 1 species